CCUACGGGAGGCAGCAGUGGGGAAUAUUGCACAAUGGGGGAAACCCUGAUGCAGCGACGCCGCGUGAGUGAAGAAGUAUUUCGGUAUUUAAAGCUCUAUCUGCAGGGAAGAAAAUGACGGUACCUGAUUAAGAAGCCCCGGCUAACUACGUGCCAGCAGCCGCGGUAAUACGUAGGGGGCCAGCGUUAUCCGGAUUUACUGGGUGUAAAGGGAGCGUAGGCGGCAGCACAAGUCAGGAGUGAAAUGCCGGGGCUUAACCCCGGAACUGCUGUGGAAACUGUGAAGCUAGAGUGCAGGAGAGGUAGGUGGAAUUCGUAGUGUAGCGGUGAAAUGCGUAGAUAUUAGGAGGAACACCGGUGGCGAAGGCGGCUUGCUGGACUGUAACUGACGUUGAGGCUCGAAAGCGUGGGGAGCAAACAGGAUUAGAUACCCCUGUAGUC
rnacentral:rRNA from 1 species